rnacentral:rRNA from 1 species
UACGUAGGUGGCAAGCGUUGUCCGGAUUUACUGGGCGUAAAGCGUGCGCAGGCGGCGCGUUUAAGACAGGUGUGAAAGCCCCCGAGCUUAACUUGGGAAUUGCGCUUGUGACUGGCGUGCUGGAGUGUGGCAGAGGGAGGUGGAAUUCCACGUGUAGCAGUGAAAUGCGUAGAGAUGUGGAGGAACACCGAUGGCGAAGGCAGCCUCCUGGGCCAGCACUGACGCUCAUGCACGAAAGCAUGGGGGAGCAAACAGG